rnacentral:rRNA from 1 species
GAUCCUGGCUCAGGAUGAACGCUAGCUACAGGCUUAACACAUGCAAGUCGAGGGGCAGCAUGAUCUAGCUUGCUAAGAUUGAUGGCGACCGGCGCACGGGUGAGUAACGCGUAUCCAACCUUCCCUAUAGUAGAGGAUAGCCCGGCGAAAGUCGGAUUAAUACUCUAUGUUUUCCAAUGCAGACAUCUAAAAUGGAACAAAGGUUUACCGCUAUAGGAUGGGGAUGCGUCUGAUUAGGUUGUUGGCGGGUAACGGCCCACCAAGCCAUCGAUCAGUAGGGGUUCUGAGAGGAAGGUCCCCCACAUUGGAACUGAGACACGGUCCAAACUCCUACGGGAGGCAGCAGUGAGGAAUAUUGGUCAAUGGGCGAGAGCCUGAACCAGCCAAGUAGCGUGCAGGAAGACGGCCCUAUGGGUUGUAAACUGCUUUUAUACAGGGAUAAAGUUCGCCACGUGUGGCGUUUUGUAGGUACUGUAUGAAUAAGGACCGGCUAAUUCCGUGCCAGCAGCGGC